GCCCGGGUGGUUUAGUUGGUUAAAGGUCCGACUUUGGAUCAGGUCACGAUCUUAUGGUUCGUGGGUUCAAGCCCCACGUCGGGCU
rnacentral:tRNA from 1 species